CAGCAGCCGCGGUAAUACGGAGGGUGCAAGCGUUAUCCGGAUUCACUGGGUUUAAAGGGUGCGUAGGCGGGCAGGUAAGUCAGUGGUGAAAUCUUCGAGCUUAACUCGGAAACUGCCGUUGAUACUAUCUGUCUUGAAUAACGUUGAGGUGAGCGGAGUAUGUCAUGUAGCGGUGAAAUGCUUAGAUAUGACAUAGAACACCGAUUGCGAAGGCAGCUCACUAAACGCUCAUUGACGCUGAGGCACGAAAGCGUGGGGAUCAAACAGGAUUAGAUACCCGAGUAGUCCCUGUCUCUUAUAC
rnacentral:rRNA from 1 species